UCUUGAGAAUACCCUAAGCGACUCUUGCUCUCUCGCGUGCUCUCUCCAAAUUUGAGACCUGUUCAUCUUCUUCUUCCAUCUGUUUCAGAGACAGAUGUCUGUGAAAUCAAUUUCUCCCCACCUCUUCCCACUCUUUAAUCCUCCAUUAACCCCAUUAAUGGGGUUCGUUGGCUGCCUCCUUCGGGUCCUCUAUAAACCUUCCAAUUCAGGAGACUCGAUUUACAUCCACUUUGAUUUUCCUCUCUCCAAAUUCACUCGCGAUGAAGACAACCGGUUCAAUCGUCUCUGUGAACUCGAAAAGCGAAGCGGCGGCCCUCUCCGCUCCGGUGAAAACCGGUGAUCAAUCCGGUGUUACUUCCGGCGUCGUCUCCUCGGUGAAGCCAGCGGUCAUAACGUCUUCCUCAACCGGUCAUAACAGAACGAGAGGAAGGAAAUAAUGAGCUCAUGGGUUUGCUCUUACGUGACUCGAAACGUCGUAACCGCCGAUCAUCCACAUCCUUUCUCAUCAUCCCAACAAUUUGGUUCUCCGCCACGUAGAGCAUCCGUCAGGUUACCCUUAACAUCUAUGCCGAAGUUUCAGCUACUUAAACUCCAAAAGUUCCAAUCUUUAUCGUCGACCCGUGAAGGAGAACAAGACUCCGAAUCAGUCGUACAAACCCUCAAGAUUCCACUCGAACGCUACUCAUUUAGGGCUUCUCAUGUGUCCACAUAUACGAGGUGUACGACAAACGAGGGCUCACAAAAUUCACUGGUUUGUUUUCUUUACUGAACAAAUCAUUGGUUUGUUUCUACGACAAGCGAGUUCAUGUUUAAGUUUUUCGACAGAAAUUCUGUGUGUGUGCGUGUUUUGAUUUAUACAUUUCGUCGCAACGUAAAGAUUUCUAAAAGAUAGAGUCCAAUCAACAAGGAGAAUUAUCUUUCAUACCUUAUUGUCCCUGUGAUAACCCACAUGUUCCCCGCAAUUUAUCAAGGUUUGAUUAUGAACAUUUAUUAGUCAAUGCUGUAGACGCCUGUGCGAUACGUUCAGAUCCUCUCCGGAUUACUGGACCAUUGUUCUUUGAUGGCUACGACUGUUCUGUUUUUUUUUUUGAUAAAAGCUACGACUGUUCUGUUCUGACGGCUACAAUGAAAGUUAUUUGGUUGCUAGCACUAACAAAGGCUGUAAGUCUAUGUACGUCUCAGGCGGAGCUGUCUCAGGCGGAGCUACCAGUACGGUUCUCAAAGACGGUACAACUAGAGCAAAUGUUAUCCGGUUUGUUUUGUGCCAACGUGCUACAGAGCUUAAGUUUCCUUCGAGAAUCCAUAUCACUUCGAAACGUUUCGCUGCCAUUUUCUACAGGUCCACCAAGAUGUAGAUUUACGAGGCUACAAAGCGUUCACUGUACAUUGCAGGGAAAAAGCGUACGUAAGAUUCAGUUGUAACAAUGGGGAUGAACAUGGUAACCAAAGGGCAAAGUGAACUGGAUCGAGGGACGUGGCAAAUCAGUAGUUUAAAAGGCAGUUAUCAAAGGAGAGAUCGUGAACAAAGUGUUAACAAGUGAAAACAAGUGUGGCUGUCUUGGUGGAGCUCAAUAUGCUCAAGAACUUCACCCUCUAUGCUGUUGCAGGCUCUCUAGGUGGAUUCAGCACUCACGCCAGCAACAUAGUGUUUGAUGUAUUCAUAGCUACUUGCCAAGAUCAAGCUUAAAACAUGGAAAGCUCUCAAUGUAUCACAAUGAUGGAAGCCAUUAAUGGGAAAGAUAUACAUAUCUCUAUCACUACACCAGGUUGGGACAGUGAGAGAAAGAACACAGUUUCCGUCUCAAUCGACUGCUAUGCAUUAAAGGAAGGAGCAUGGAAUCACUGGGGAUGAACUCAGGGAGGGUAGCAAUGAUAGUGGCAUGAGCAGUUUUGGCAUGAGAGUUAUCUCUAAUAUCAGCAAUUGCAGCUGGACAAUAUAUCUCUAGAGCAACGACAUGGAUGAUAACAACAUUAUCUGAAUCUUACCUUUACAAAAGAUUGAGCAUUUCAACAUAGUGGAAAACACAUUGAAUUUUUAGUUUGUACCUUUACCUUUUCAAGAAGUUGGAGGAAGCAAGAGCGUGUAAAUUUAUACAUCUAUCGUCUUCCAAAACCAGAAAGGCAGCUAAGUUAGAAAUGUGUGUGUUAUUUGGAUUACAUAUGAAAAUAUAUUCACGCCAGCACAUAAUUAUUCUUGGUC